CUGAGCUACAGAACUUAAAAUGAACAAGCGGUUGUUGAAUGUCGUGCACUCUUUGUCUCCAUUAGGAUUGUCUAAAUCGAUUCACGGAAGCAACGUCUUGCUUUAUUUUUCCAGGACAAUGCCACUACAAUGGCAGCCGUUUCUCUUACUCCCAUUACCCGACGGGUAAAUGUGAGAGCUGGAGCUGCGAUAUCCAUAGCAAAUCCAUUGAGAAGACAAUAUGCAGACAACCUCAACCUCCUUGCAGAUUUACCAACCCUACUGCGCCAUUCCCCGACUGCUGCAAGACAACCUGCCCUACGCGGAAGUAUUUCUGCAUCUCACCGAGCAAAGAAAAGAUGAAGGAUGGAGAAGUCCUGUAUUCGACAGAGUCAUGCGCGCGGUACACCUGCGCUGGAGGAAACGUCAUCACGG
rnacentral:lncRNA from 1 species